rnacentral:rRNA from 1 species
AUGGUGAUAGGUGAUAUAAAUGAAAUUCUAUAUGCUUUUGAGAAGGAAGGGGGUAAUCCAAGGCCAGCACACUACAUGCAAGCUUUUAGGGAUGCUCUUAUGGAUUGUGACCUUUCUGAUUUUGGGUAGACUGGUGACAAGUUUACGUGACAUAGGGGUGCGAUCAGAGAGAGACUAGAUAGGGAUUUGCUAAAUGAUUCGUGGAGUUUGAAGUUUGAAGGGGCUGUGCUCAAGCAUCUCGGCUAUGCCCGUUCUGACCAUAGGCCCAUUCUGAUGGAUACAGAAACCCAUGAAACACACUGA